UAACUCUGUUUGCUUCAGUGCAUCUAUAAAAUGACCUGGAGAAGGAAAUGACAAACCACUCUGGUAUCUCUGCCAAGAAAAUCCCAAAUGGGGCCACAGAGUCGGACAUGACUGAAACAACAAUAAUAAAUGUUUGUGGAGAGCACAACUGACCUUUGUUUUCAUUUUUAUAGGGAAGUCCCGGGUGAUAAAAAAUGUAGCAAUAUAGGUUGUCACUGUCAAUGCACCAUAUUGUCUUAAAGAGUUGCCUGGGGGCCUAAGAAGUGACUCCCCCAAGGUCCCACAGCCAACACAUACAAACACUUGAACCCAGGUCUUCUUGGUUUCAAGACCAGCUGGUUUGUAUUAUGCAUACUUCCACAGUACUUUAUGUUACAUAGCUAUUUAUUGGACCUCCAUAGUUUCAAUAAUGCAACUCUAUUUUACUUCUUUGUCGCAGUUGGAGAGUGGCAGUGAUGAACGGUUUUCUCGGUUUUAUGGGAACCGUUACUGGUAUCCAUUUGGACCCUACCAACCCUACCCACCCUACCCACCUUUUGGCUACCCCAGAUAUCCAUGGCUGUGGUAUUACUUUGUCUCAGCACCGCCUCCAGCAUCAGCUGCUCUUUCUAAAAAAAAUAAGUCAAACAGAGGACCAUGAGGUCAUGCUCAAAUUCAACCUUGACUUCAUGUUCUCUAAAAGCUGCCUGCUCGAAGAAGGCAUACUGAGGCCAAAGAGGAAACCUUUGUUGACUCAUAUCUUUGACUCAAGGCAUUUAACUAUGUUCAGUGUGAUACCUCUUCUAUAAUAAACAUUAAUGGCAAAUGUUUCAAGAUCUGCGAUUUCAUUGGUUUGGGUUAUCUCUCAAUGCAUAUCAUGACCCCUCUACACUUUAAAAGAUAGUAUUCAUCAGUUACUGUGACUGGAUUUGUGUGGAU
rnacentral:lncRNA from 1 species